rnacentral:lncRNA from 1 species
AACGAUGGCUUAGAAAAUCCUACUUGCGGUCUUACAUAUGAAAAUGGAAAUUCUAUUCCUUUUAGUCAGGGCUUCUGUUGUUCGUGCAAUUCCGAAAUAAAUGCAUCGCGUCAGUUGAGAAAAGAAUCCAACAAAUCGGCUGGAAAUUUUUCAUCCGAGAUAAAAA